CCCGGAGCAGGAGGAGGCCGAGCACCGACAGCUGAUGGCGUUCAACGACGCCGAGAACGCGCGCAUGGCCGCCGAGGGCGGAACAGAGGCUGGCCGAGCAGACCGAGGCCGUGCGCCGCAAGGUGGCGGCGCUGCAGCAGGCGGCCCUGGAGCAGCAGAAGAAGGACAGCCAGCGCGCCGUGGAGCUCAUCCGCACCCAGGAGGAAAUUUCGCGCAUGUACAUUCCUCGCGACAAGCUGGAGGAAGAGAUAGAGAAGGCGCUGGCCGACGAGGG